UACGUAGGGGGCGAGCGUUGUCCGGAUUUAUUGGGCGUAAAGAGCGUGUAGGCGGUUCGGUAAGUCUGUCGUGAAAUCCUGAGGCUCAACCUCGGACGUGCGAUGGAUACUGCCGGGCUAGAGGAUGGUAGAGGCGAGUGGAAUUCCCGGUGUAGCGGUGAAAUGCGCAGAUAUCGGGAAGAACACCAACGGCGAAGGCAGCUCGCUGGGACGGUACUGACGCUGAGACGCGAAAGCGUGGGGAGCGAACAGG
rnacentral:rRNA from 1 species